GUCCUUUAGUUAAGAAUAAUUUAAGGUCUAACCUGCCCAUUGAUUAAAUUAAAAGGCCGCAGUAAUUUGACUGUGCAAAGGUAGCAUAAUCAUUAGUUUUUUAAUUAAAAGCUUGUAUGAAUGGUUGGACGAGAUAAAAUCUGUCUCUUUAUAAAAAAUAGAAUUUAAUUUUUAAGUUAAAAAGCUUAAAUAAAAAUAAAAGACGAGAAGACCCUAUAGAUCUUUAUAUAAAUUUUUUUAGUAUUAAUAAUGAAAUUUUUAUUUAUUAAUUAUAUUUGUAUUUUAUUGGGGUAAUAAAAAGAUUAAAAAAAUUCUUUUUAAUUUAACAAAAAUUAUUGGUUAUAUGAUCCAUUAUUAGUGAUUAUAAGAUUAAGUUACCUUAGGGAUAACAGCGUAAUUUUUUUAGAGAGUUCUUAUCAAUAAAAAAGUUUGCGACCUCGAUGUUGGAUUAAAAGUAAUUCUGGGUGUAGAAGUUCAGAGUUUUGGUCUGUUCGACCAUUAAAUUUUU
rnacentral:rRNA from 1 species